GACGAAGGAUGCAAGCGUUAUCCGGAUUCAUUGGGUUUAAAGGGAGCGUAGGUGGCCUUAUAAGUCAGUGGUGAAAUCUCUGGGCUUAACCCAGAAAUUGCCAUUGAUACUGUAGGGCUUGAGUACAGUUGCUGUGGGCGGAAUAUGACAUGUAGUGGUGAAAAUACAUAGAGAUGUCAUAGAACACCGAUUGCGAAGGCAGCUCACAAAACUGUAACUGACACUGAGGCUCGAAAGUGCGGGGAUCAAACAGG
rnacentral:rRNA from 1 species